CCAGAAAACAUCGCUGCCCCCAGUCUCCCUGCACGAGAGGACGCUCACACAUCCCGCAAUGAGUAAAGAGGUGGAAGGGAGACAGGAGAGGAAAAAAAAAAAAAAAAGACUCCUCGAGAUGACAUCAUCAUAUUUAUCAGCCAGAAAAAAGAGAAAAAAAAUCGCUGCUUCUGCCAAGUGGAGCUACCCGAGUUCUGAGCAUCCACCUCUAACCCCAAACUACUGGGUGAUGUCUUGCUGCUUUAUACCCUAUUAUGUAUGUGAGUAAAGCGUUGGCCUCACAGUCUCGAGGACCCGGGUUAGAUCCCGGCCCCGCCUGUGUGGAGUUUGCAUGUUCUCCCCGUGCCUGCGUGGGUUUUCUCCGGGCACUCCAGUUUCAGCCAGCUGGGAUAGGCUCCAGCUCUCCCGGCAACCCUCGUGAGGAUAAGCGGCAAAGAAAAUGGAUGGAUGGAUGGACUUUUUCAGAGGAAGAUGUUUAUGGAACAUAAAUACUUCUACUCAGAAAGACAUUUAACCGAAAAAGUCUCCACACCUGUUCUUCACUUUGUAAUGUAAACAUGAGACCAGGAUAAAUAAUUUCAAAACUUUUUACACUAUCACUGUGACCUAUAACCUUUGUAGUUCAAAUCAAAGGAAAAUUAUUCUUUUCAAGAGCGCUACGUAAGCAUAAUUCAGUGAGAUAAUGUGGUUGUGAAAGUGUACAACCCCUCAAGUAAUUCAGUACGUGGGUCUGUUCAGAAUGAAUCAAACAUUAAAUAGGAGUCAGCGCACCAUUUAAAUUUCCUGGCUAACCUCCCAAAAAGUCCAGUUGUUCCAGUCAGCUUUUCCUGACAUUUCUGCUGUUUCCUGCAGGUUAUGUGCUAAAGCUGACUUUAUUUGGCAUUGUUCCAAUUUAAUUUAGGGUUAAUCAGAGGCACGUUAAUGGUGGCAGGUGUGUGCUAACGCCCAUGUAACAUUGAACGUGAUUGUUUAAUUCCAAACAGCCAAAUCGCCACGUAU